CCGACCUUAGCUCAGUUGGUAGAGCGGAGGACUGUAGUUGGUAAAAGCCUGGCAGGCAUCCUUAGGUCGCUGGUUCGAAUCCGGCAGGUCGGA
rnacentral:tRNA from 3 species